GUGCAUAUCCGAACUUGUCGACCUAAAUAUGUUCUAGAAAAACGAAUUCCGUUCUUGGCUUUUUCUGAAAAAGUUCUUUGAGAAGGUAUGGUUACGGUG